AUUUACAGUGAAAUGUUGAAUCAAUAUGGGUUUUAUUUCAGUAGAACUGUGUCUGUAUAAUACAGGAGUAUAUAAAAUAUAUAUAUGUGUAUCGGGGUAGAGCUCUACAUUGUAAAUAUCACUACCACUAAAUUCAGUCAAUUUGAUAGAAAAAGGUGAGCGUUCUCGGUGUAAAAUUAUCCAACGUUCUAGGUGUAAAACUAUCCAACGUUCUAGGUGUAAAACUAUCCAACGUUCUAGGUGUAAAACUAUCCAACGUUCUAGGUGUAAAACUAUCCAACGUUCUAGGUGUAAAACUAUCCAACGUUCUAGGUGUAAAACUAUCCAACGUUCUAGGUGUAAAACUAUCCAACGUUCUAGGUGUAAAACUAUCCAACGUUCUAGGUGUAAAACUAUCCAACGUUCUAGGUGUAAAACUAUCCAACGUUCUAGGUGUAAAACUAUCCAACGUUCUAGGUGUAAAACUAUCCAACGUUCUAGGUGUAAAACUAUCCAACGUUCUAGGUGUAAAACUAUCCAACGUUCUAGGUGUAUCCACGCACAGUAAAGCCGUAGCGGCUUAUAUAAGUACUGAGUUACUGAAUGACAAACUUUCCUGAGCUCUAUAUUACUCCACAAACUGGACACGAAAUAUUAUCUCUGAUGGUCUCUGCAGUCUUUAGGUUUGAGGUUGGCGGAUAAGGGAUAGCCUGGUAUUUAGCUACUUUUCACGGUUGCUUCCCUGGGAAACAAAGGUAGGCUUAGCAUUCAGUCAGGUUUAACCAGGCAAGAUAAAGGAUGUCGUGACUAUGAAAUGCACUGU